UGGGUUAUAUACCAUAGCUGCUUUUGCGCGUCCUAAUCCGUAGCCUACCCUUCAAUUUAGUGCAUUAUUCGCCACUUCAUACUUCAUAGUUUCAUGCUGCACCUCUAAAAUGGAUGCUAAACAAUGUUAAGCGAACUAAGGGUAGGCUGUAUGUAUGCCAGGGUGACCGUGCUGCAUUUCUUGUUUCUUUGCUGCGAACCAAACACAAAACGGUUAUCAAACAGGUUCCUCGUGAGAUAGUCUGUGGGAAGAAUUGGCCCUUGGAUAGAUAAAAAAAACUAAGGCUGGAUCUUUAGUUCCUUAUGGCAUUAAUGAUAUGUAUUAUUUCCAGAAUGAUGAUGUAUAUCGUUAUUCGGUCCAGGGCUGGGUAUUGGACCAGUUUUCAUUUAAUGUAACGCGAGUGUGCCUUUGGUAUGUAUAGCUCUCUCUCUCUCUCUCGCUCUCUCUCUCUCUCUCUCUCUCUCUCUCUCUCUCUCUCUCUCUCUCUCUCUCUCUCUCUCCCUGACAGAAGACUCGCUAGGCCGAACAUCUGAUUAUAACCUUCCCCGGGCUAUUUAAUUGUUUUUAUUUGUUUUAUCCCUAUACGAUCGCCGUAUAUCCAUAGUUACACCAACAUUUGAAUAUUUAUCCACUUGCACCUACGUCGGUAGGGCCUGGAUGCACACCAGUGGUAUAUCGCUGCAAAGCUGUCAUUGCAUCUUGGGUCAUAAGAUUUUAUGGGGAGGGGAGGGUGGCUUUUUAAGAUUAUAUUUUUGUCCACAUCUUAAACGUUCAUUCUAUAAAUAACAAUUGAUAUUCGAGUCUGGGGUGAAUGUAUUGGCGCAGUAUUCGCAGUCUUCCACGUCGAACGUAGAAUUUGACUUAAUAUUUUUUCAAUACAACCUGCAGCAGCCUGGGAACAGAUACCUGUCUAAACUUCUGAUAAUAGCCUGCUAAAGAAAUGGUCAGUCCUUGAUGGUUGCUACCUAGCGCAGUGGUAACAGUGGCGUGGACACAUAGCAACAGGGAUCUGCAGCUGUGGUCUCUCUCGGAUUUGAUUUAGCGGUUGUGGCGCAGCAUUUGGGUUGGUUGGCUCCGAAAUCAAAAUCGUGGUAUGACUCUCAUCUGAGUGUUGCCUUUCGACAGACGCGCGCCAUUGGCAAUUCAUUUAAACAAACCCUGAUUUCAGCAGGGCAGGUGUUAACUGAGUUUUAGGCUAUGUCAUAAAGUUAUCAGUGAUCCUAUAUUUGUGUCGACAUAUUCUGGCCAUAUACUCUUCUGGCUACAUUUAAAGAGCAUCCUUGAUACGCAUUUCUGUAUAGGUCUGUUCUUGCCCGCGCGGUGUCAUUUUAUUUUCUUUCUUUGCAUUCGACUCUGAAAUUGUUGUGAUUUUUUUUCGAGAAAAAAUAAAUAAAUAAGUAGCCUAUAUAUGACCAUCAAUGUCUUAUUCAUAAUGAACAGAAGCACCCGACAAAUCAGCUCACUGUUGUCAUAUGACGAAUUAUUACGACGUGGCUAAUAGAAUAGCCUGAUUAGGCUGAAUUCGAAGCUUUGAUGAUGCUAUGGAGUCACAAUGAGAAUAGUUGUGAAGUGGUAGGCUACCCCCGACAACCACUGAAAAGGACUAGGUGCCUACUGCGAAAAAACACCAAAAUGACCUUAAGCCUUGGGUUUGCUGUCACAUCUUUUCCAGAAUUCACAAUAGUCUAUAUUAAUAAAUAUCUUAUGUAAUUUAUGAUUUAUUUCUUUCUUUUGAGGACGAACCUUCAGUGAAGUUUCGUACUUUUCAGCAGCGUGUAGUUUGAGAGAGAUACCGAAAGGUAGCCUACGAUAGGUUAGGCCUACGAUAAAAAGCUAUUGAUAAUGAUUCCCAAUUGGCCGAUUUUUUAGUUCAAAUUCUUAUUGUUAACGAGUUCUUGAUUUUAUAUAAAUUUUUAUAUGGCCUAUUCAUCUGUAUAUUAAUUUAUUUAUGCAGUGGCGAUUAUCCCAUAUAGGCUCAUCAAAUAUCGGUUUGACUUGUGAGAUGAUGUAUGUCACACACGUUUGCUAAUCAAAGACUGUUUUAAUUGAGCAAGAUUUGAGUUGUGGUAUUGCAGCGCUCUAUAAAAAUAGGUAGGCUAUUCCUACGUCAGAUACCCAGGCGUGAGCGGAUGACAUGGAUUUCGCUGCACAAAUUAUGCUACCCUUCUUGAUAUAUUUAAGUAACCUUUACGUGCCUAACCAGGCUGCAAUAAGAAUGCUUAUGUUUGAAGAAAAAAGCGGCGAAUGGGUCCAGAACUCCCGUAUCACAAACUGAAAACUAAUGGAUGACGACGACACGAGAUAAUCACAAGAUAGUGGAUAGCAAGGUAAACAAGCCUCUUACAGAGUCAGCUGUGCUUGUGGAUUUUGACCUGCCAGCAGAUUCAGGAUGUCUGUGCAGGCAUUACUACUCGGUAAAGCCGCAGAUUCCUCUGUAGCGUUGAGCAGAUUCAUGUCCUUUUGUGGCUGCGGUGCUGAAGCUAGCGAUUGCGUGGAAUCAGGACCUGCAAAUCAGCCUUCGCUCCAUGUGCCCGGUGUCCUCACUUUGCAGGGGAUUACACACAUUUUAUCUCUAAUUACCUGGAAUCAGACCUUCAGAAUCAAAUCAAUUCAACCACUUUCACACGCACACACACACACACUCACACACAUUCAUUCUCUCUCUCUCUUUCUUUCAUGAAUAAACACCUGUGCUAACUGCCUCCGAUAAGAUACAGUGCAUUCAGCCAUAUUGUGAACAUUAGGAUACUGAUAGGGUAUAGACCGUAUAGACAGUGAUCAUCGUUAUCCUCAGUAUUACAUGGAUGCAGCUACAAUGGUACAGUUACCGUGUCAGCAUAAUUGUCUAUGACAACCCAGACAGCAUAGAGACGGCCGUCCCUCUUGAGAUUAAUGAAUCUAUGGCAUGUAUUCAAUGUGUAGUGCAUGGGUUGAAAGAGUAUGGUAAUUGAUUUCCUGUGUUAUGGAGUGAGACCCCCAUUGACUGUUUCAAGUUUCAGGACAGCUGUUUCCAAUUUAUCUAUGGAUUGUGGUGUGCAAGGCCUGAUGCUAGCUGUACUGUGUUUAUGGAACAUUCAUUUUAUCUGCGCAGUUAGCUCUAUUGCAUAUCAUAUUUUAAAUGAUGUAUUAGAAGAAUCCUAUCCAGGGGCCAGAUAUGUGAUUCAAUUUCAGCCAUUCUGAAAAGGUGUUUAAUUCAUUCAGUGAUUCGUCCCAUUUUCUGUUUGUGUAAAUAUUUUUCCCCUUUUUUACUUUUUCUACUUAAUUUGGAAUUGGCUCUUGAGCUUCACACUGCACCACCAAUACCCUCGAACCAGAUGCAGUAAAGCUAGGGUCCUCACAAUGCACUGGUUUGUGACUAUUUAACACCCUGCAGGCCAAAACUCUGUUAUAGGAGAGAGAUACCAUUCAAGGUGAAGGUGUAUGUCUCAUUGAUAACCUGGUACAUCACUGGGAGGAACCCAAGGACGUCUGGCCAUCUUAAAUCCACCCCGUCCCCAGGGCAAUGCAAUCGGUUCCUCCUGCCAUAGGCUCUGAGUCAUGAUCGGCGAAGCUGCUAGCUAACAGUCGCUAACAAAUGAACCUGUGACCGUAGGGCCCUGCCAGUAUUUGCAGUGAUUGCCUUUAAGGCUGAGGCCCACUGACACCUCAGUCCCCAGUAUACGGGUGUAAUCUAUAACCAAACUCCACCGCUGCGCUUGUUAUCGUUCCCAUUGCCUCCGAUGUAAUCGGAACACGCGCGCCUGGGCGUCUCCAUGGCAGCUUGCCUGUAAUUAAUGUCUGUCAUGCUUCCACGGCAGCGGCAUGCGUGUUGAGCGUGUCAUCGCUCGCAGGUAUGCAGCUUCCGCGGUGCUUCCGUGUCAUCCUGUGAGGUGCGGCCGUCUCGGUGCGCCACUUUAAUUGGUUCACCGCUGCGGUACCCUUGAACAAGGUCCCUUACCUAAUUUGCUGUUUAAAAAUGGAUUCCUGGAUUUACAUUCAAGGUAAAGUGAGGAAGCCAAAAAAAAAACGUGUCGAAAUAUUUUAAGCAGAAAAAAUUUCAAAGAAUUAAGAUUUUCUUUGAGCAAAAAGGUAGGAAUUCUUCCCUGACUUUCUAUUUUUUUUUUCUAGCAGUAUAAAAAUGUACUGCCUGAAAUGGCAUUAUCAGUGAGCUCUGUGGUACAGUGUGUUUCUCUUUCAUAUCCCAGUGUUUUCUCCAGCCCUUACCUAUUCAAAUUCAGAUAUGGAAUUUGCCUGCUUUGGGGAUAGUCCUUUAAAGUCACCAGAAGAUGAUACACUUCAGUGUACUGAGACUGUUACAGUACAUCCUUCCUGAACUGCACAUUUUUUGUUAUUAAAAAUUGUAUGAUUUCCAUUUUGCAUGGAGAUGGACAGAUAUUCUCAUUGACUGGGCAUGCCUAUGUCAGUGAGAGUGAGGGGAGACUAUGAUACCAAGGAGGCAUGUUGUGUGACCUGUUCACAGAGAAGGGAGUAGGAAGUGCUGGGGUGCAGCAAGGUCACUUCCUGCCUCUUGCUGAAACGGAAGUGCAGGUCGAUACAGUCGCACACCUUUGCCGUGACUUCACCCCUUCAGGUGCCCAAAAUAACUCCCCUGAACUAAUUAACGUAAUUAAUUUCACUUAUAGCAGUUAAUUAUUUCAUGCUGCCUGGAAAAAAAAGUAGAAGGAACCUUGAAGAAGCCAUUGGUCCCGAGGGCGGUCCUAAUCUUAGUCAGAGGACACUUAGAUCAGAUCACUCAAAGCCUGCUCAUCCCUCUCUGAAUGUGCUAAAGUGAACCCAAUUAAAGUACUUCCCAUGCCCUUGCACAUUUCGAGAUCUUUUGUGCCGUGGACCAUGCUGACCUUUUUAAAAGCCGAAAUAGCAGUGGCAUGUCUCUCAUCCCGUCCGCUGCUGGCAACGUGAGAGCCUACCAUCCAGUCUCGGUUUUAUGAUGCGUCAAACUCCAGUCCUGGAGGGCUGCGGUAUCUGCUUGUUUUUGGAAUGUUCCUGGCACAGGUGGUUCAUUAAACUCAUUGAUUGGCUAAAGAAUCCAUACGCCUUGUUCUCAAGGCCUUAAUUAGCAGCUGAUUGAAAGGAAACCGAAAAAACCCGCGGACACUGCGGCCCCCUUGGGAUUGGGUUCGACACCCCUGCGAUAGACAGCUGUGGAAGGCGCAGGCAGGGCAGCGCUAGGUGGCACUGUGGCAGUCGUGGCCGAGUGA